AUACUGACGUGCAAAUCGUUCGUCUGACUUGGGUAUAGGGGCGAAAGACUAAUCGAACCAUCUAGUAGCUGGUUCCCUCCGAAGUUUCCCUCAGGAUAGCUGGAGCUCGGACGCGAGUUCUAUCGGGUAAAGCCAAUGAUUAGAGGCAUCGGGGGCGCAACGCCCUCGACCUAUUCUCAAACUUUAAAUAGGUAGGACGGGGCGGCUGCUUUGUUGAGCCGUCCCACGGAAUCGAGAGCUCCAAGUGGGCCAUUUUUGGUAAGCAGAACUGGCGAUGCGGGAUGAACCGGAAGCCGGGUUACGGUGCCCAACUGCGCGCUAACCUAGAACCCACAAAGGGUGUUGGUCGAUUAAGACAGCAGGACGGUGGUCAUGGAAGUCGAAAUCCGCUAAGGAGUGUGUAACAACUCACCUGCCGAAUCAACUAGCCCCGAAAAUGGAU
rnacentral:ncRNA from 1 species